rnacentral:rRNA from 2 species
GGUUAAGCGACUAAGCGUACACGGUGGAUGCCCUGGCAGUCAGAGGCGAUGAAGGACGUGCUAAUCUGCGAAAAGCGUCGGUAAGGUGAUAUGAACCGUUAUAACCGGCGAUGUCCGAAUGGGGAAACCCAGUGCAAUU